AGUCUGACUCCCUUCCCCUCUAGUCUGCACUGGUCUUGGAGAUAGAUAGAUAGAUAGAUAGAUAGAUAGAUAGAUAGAUAUAGAGAUAACUGAAUGUGACUUUCAAAGCUGCUUCAAUUUGGGCAUCUUGAAUGUUCUGUGCUGGAGUCACCUCACACCCGGCUCUAUGGAGAGAGCCAGGAAGCAGGGAAUCCUCCCCGACCACCCCAGCUGGGCCUGGCUUGCCAACCAUUUCCACCACAGCCCCAGAAGAUGUGGGAGUGAGCCAUCUUGGACUCCAGACCAACCAUUAUUCCAGAGGAUGCAGCGCCGGAGUCAUCUGCCUGGAUUUCUGACCAGCUCAUCAUGGGAUAGAUUGUGACAUCCUUGAGGAGUAGGUAGGUGGUCUGGAGCCAAUGUGGUGAUCCCAUGAUCCAGAACUCAGCCACCUUCUUGUGGGUGACUGUCAUGUUCAACAGAUGACUUCCUCCCAGUGACUCAAGAUGGCUGCCAAGACUCAGACUAUGACAUCUGCAUUCCAGCCAGCUCAGAGGAGGAAGGCAUCAGGAAGGCAUGAAGACACCACUCUCAGGAGAAAUUGGCAAGAGAUGUUAACAGCGUGAGAAACGUGUCAGACAAUAAUAACAAAAGUAGCCGAGGCCAUUAUAGCUGUCGCAUGGAAGGCUAACUGGAUGUGCUCUCUGCCUUUCUUCAGGGACAAGCCAGGACCACACAUGUAAGAUAUGGGGGGAGAUGGCUCAGCUUUCACCUAAGAAAGUAAAUCAGAGUGGACUGUUGUCAAAAUAGACCACCUGGGAAAGAAGUCACACCAACUAACGUUUAUUGGAAAGCAGAUGAAAGGCCCUGAAUUUUAUUUGCUUAUUUUGAAUCUGCCAUGCAUCCCACAGCUUUAAAUGUAAAAACAAUGCAGACAAGUGUGGGGCAACAGGCUGUGUCCUCAUGUUCAUGUUUCUCCUCCAUAUCUGAUUUCCACAUACAAGAACAUUUUUUAAGUACUUCCAAAGUUUCUAGAGGCACAUGCAAACCCAUUCCUAUGCCCUUCCUUGUUAAAAGACUUCUUUCUAUUAUUUUAAGUGUGUGUGUGUGUGUGUGUGUGUGUGUGUGUGUGUGUGUGUGUACUCACCCUUACGUGUAUAUGUAUAUGUGCACAUGAGUGCAGGGGCCUGCAGACCACAAGAGUCAAAUUCACUUGGAUCUGGAGCUUCAAGCUCCUCUGAUGUGGGUGCUAGGAAUUGAACUCCGGUCCUUCACAAGAGCAGUACAAUCUCUUAACGACUGAACCAUCUUUCCAGCCCCCCCUUCCUUUCUUGUAUAAAAGACAAUACAACACACCAUGUCUUUGCUUCAAGUUGGAUUUUUUUCUAUGCACCUAGCAUGAUCCUCUUUUCUGUUGGCCUAAUGUUUCUCUCUCUGCCUCUCUCUCUCUCUCUCUCUCUCUCUCUCUCUCUCUGUUUUUCAAGACAGGAUUUCUCUGUGUAGCUUUGUAGACCAGGCUGGCCUUGAACUCACAGAGAUCAACCUGCCUCUCCCUCCCAGCUGCUGGGAUUAAAGGCGUGAACCCACCACUGCCUGGCUCCUAAUAUUUUUUUAAACCCAUAUAGUUAGCUAGCUAACUAGUAGCCCAGGCUAGCUUUGUUGAGUCCCCACCCCAAGGAGACAGGGACACAUGUAACCUAAGCUAGUCUCCAACUACUAAGUACUUGAAGGUUAUCUUGAGCUCCAAAUCCUGUUUCCUCCACGUGGGAUUACACGUGGGAUUUCAUGUGUGUGCCACCAUGCCCAGUGUUUGCAAUAAUGCAGACAAAGCCAUGUCCUUGUGCACCAAGGCAAGCUGCAUUCCCCAGUCCAGGGCUUGUUGGAUUCUUAGUUUCAUUACUUUCACUUUCAGGUUUUUAUUUAUUUAUUUAUUUAUUAUGUAUACAGUGUUCUGCCUGCAUGUAUCCCUGCAGUCCAGAAGAGGGCACCAGACUACAUUACAGAUGGUUGUGAGCUGCCAUGUGGUAGCUGGGAAUUGAACUCAGGACCUCUGGAAAAAUGGGCAGUGCUCUUAACCUCUGAGCCAUCUCUCCAGCCUUCACUUUCAGUUUUACAGUGUCCAUUUGAUUCUUUUUAAAGGUUCUAAUUCUCUGAUGGAAGGUUGCAUUCUUAUCUCUUCACCCAUUUUUUCUGGUUUCUUGAACAUAUACAAAAUAGCUAAUUAAAAUCCUUAAAAAUCUA